rnacentral:rRNA from 1 species
AUUGAACGCUGGCGGCAUGCCUUACACAUGCAAGUCGAACGGCAGCACGGGAGCAAUCCUGGUGGCGAGUGGCGAACGGGUGAGUAAUGUAUCGGAACGUACCUUUCAGUGGGGGAUAACGUAGCGAAAGUUACGCUAAUACCGCAUAUUCUGUGUGCAGGAAAGCAGGGGAUCGCAAGACCUUGCGCUGAUUGAGCGGCCGAUAUCAGAUUAGCUAGUUGGUGAGGUAAAGGCUCACCAAGGCGACGACGGGUAGCCGGCCUGAGAGGGUGACCGGCCACACUGGGACUGAGACACGGCCCAGACUCCUACGGGAGGCUG